rnacentral:rRNA from 1 species
UAGAGGAAGUAAAAGUCGUAACAAGGUCUCCGUUGGUGAACCAGCGGAGGGAUCAUUACUGAGUUUACGCUCUACAACCCUUUGUGAACAUACCUACAACUGUUGCUUCGGCGGGUAGGGUCUCCGCGACCCUCCCGGCCUCCCGCCUCCGGGCGGGUCGGCGCCCGCCGGAGGAUAACCAAACUCUGAUUUAACGACGUUUCUUCUGAGUGGUACAAGCAAAUAAUCAAAACUUUUAACAACGGAUCUCUUGGUUCUGGCAUCGAUGAAGAACGCAGCGAAAUGCGAUAAGUAAUGUGAAUUGCAGAAUUCAGUGAAUCAUCGAAUCUUUGAACGCACAUUGCGCCCGCCAGCAUUCUGGCGGGCAUGCCUGUUCGAGCGUCAUUUCAACCCUCAAGCUCUGCUUGGUGUUGGGGCCCUACAGCCGAUGUAGGCCCUCAAAGGUAGUGGCGGACCCUCCCGGAGCCUCCUUUGCGUAGUAACUUUACGUCUCGCACUGGGAUCCGGAGGGACUCUUGCCGUAAAACCCCCCAAUUUUCCAAAGGUUGACCUCGGAUCAGGUAGGAAUACCCGCUGAACUUAAGCAUA